UACGUAGGGGGCAAGCGUUAUCCGGAUUUACUGGGUGUAAAGGGAGCGUAGACGGCAAGGCAAGUCUGAUGUGAAAGGUCGGGGCCCAACCCCGGGACUGCAUUGGAAACUGUCUGGCUGGAGUACAGGAGAGGUAAGUGGAAUUCCUAGUGUAGCGGUGAAAUGCGUAGAUAUUAGGAGGAACACCAGUGGCGAAGGCGGCUUACUGGACCGUAACUGACGUUGAGGCUCGAAAGCGUGGGGAGCAA
rnacentral:rRNA from 1 species